rnacentral:lncRNA from 1 species
AGCCCAGAAGAAAAGAACCUCCUGGAAAAUCAGAGGGACUACUUCCUUGAUUUACACUUUUUGAGCUGGAUGGCAAGGAAAAUGAAUCAAUGCCUGACUCGUUAGCACAACACCAUCUGUAGGAGUUCACAUUAAUGAAACCAGAGCCUUCAGCCUAAAGGAGAAAACACAAUUUGAUGAGAGAAAAAGAUGACAAUGAAGAGAGGCUACGGUUUUCUUUGUAUUUUUUUCUUGAGGUUGAGUGUUUUUAUCAGCUGAUCAUUUUCUCUCUGAUUUCUGAUUCUUCAGUGAUUUCAUAUGCAUCCUUCUCUACACUUUCUGUGCCCUGCAUUGCAGUGAUACUUCUGCUUUUUAUGGAACAUUGAACCCAUGGCAUCACACUGAUUGCAGUCUGCCUUGCAGUGUGGUUAGUUUUCUAGGACAGAAUGACAUCAAAAACUCAAUGAGGGUGAAGACAAGAUUUUCCUGGACUUGUUAUGUCCAAAGCACAAUAUACUCUGUACCUCUGUACUCGCAGAUCUCCAGCAAAUAUUUUCUGAGCCUUCUCUAGUUAGAUUGGUGAGAAGCAGCUGUUAUUACAACAAGACUUCCAUCGUACCAGGGAUGUCAACAGUGACGUUACGUUCUCUGGGAAAGGAAUUAGAAGUGGUUUCUGUUAUGUGUUCAAGGGAAACUAGUUUCGUUGAACCUGUUUGCAUAGAAUCGAUCAACCGCCCUCUUCAUGCUGCUACUAAGAGGUUCCCUCCAAGGAGCCUAGAGGCAAAUGCUGGCAGAGGUACAUCGNACCCUCUUCAUGCUGCUAAACACUAAGAGGUUCCCUCCAAGGAGCCUAGAGGCAAAUGCUGGCAGAGGUACAUCGGACUUUGAAGCUGUUGGUGGAGAUGCCAAACCAAAACCACUGCAGUGGCCAGUCUGCAAGAGAUGCCAGCAACACAAGUAGAGCUGGCUCAGAAAUGUGGGAAUAUCCGAAGCCACAUUGAGAAGGGCCGUGUGCACUUUCUGUUAUUCUACUAGAGAGUCAAUCAAAUUAACAUCAGCCCUUGUAAUUCAAUCAGCAAGUGAAGCCUCUGUAUCGUGGCAGAGAUGAUGAGAAUACAAAUUUAAACAGAUUGUUCAUGGAUUCCAAGAAUUCAUUCUCAAGUAAGAAAUUAAAAAAUAUCAUUUAUAACUAUGACAAAAAUAUAAUAGGAGU